rnacentral:rRNA from 1 species
CAAUUGCGUAUAUUAAAGUUGUUGCAGUUAAAAAGCUCGUAGUUGGAUUUCUGGUUGAAGCGACCGGUCGGGCGUUGAUUCGUCUGCACUGGAGUCGGUUUUGGCCAUCCUCUAGGAAAGUGCGUCUGGUAUUAAGUUAUCGGGCGUAUGAUCCUGGUCUUUUACUGUGAAAAAAUUAGAGUGUUUAAAGCAGGCCUUCGCCUUGAAUACAUUAGCAUGGAAUAAUAAGAUAGGACUUUGGUCUAUUUUGUUGGUUUGCAGACCGAAGUAAUGAUUAAUAGGGAUAGUUGGGGGUAUUUAUAUUCCGAUGUCAGAGGUGAAAUUCUUAGAUUUUCGGAAGAUAAACUUAUGCGAAAGCAUUUACCAAGGAUGUUUUCAUUAA